GUUGAACGCUGGCGGCGUGCCUUACACAUGCAAGUCGAACGAACACACGGGAGCAUUCCUGGUCGCGCGUGACCGACGGAUGAGUGAUAAAUCCGAGCAUGCCCAGUCUAGGGGGAUAGCACGACUAAGGGCGGACUGAUACCGCAUACGACCUACGAGUGAACGCCAGGGAUCACUAGAGAUCGAGGGAUCUGAGCUGCCGAUGACAGAUUAGCUAGUUGGUGGGGUAAAGGCGUACCAAGGCGACGAUCUGUAGCCGGUCUGAGAGGACGACCUGCCACACUGGAACUGAGACACGGCCCAGACUCCUACGGGAGGCAGCAGUGGGGAAUCUUGCACAAAGGGCGCAAGCCUGACGCAGCAACGCCGCGUGCGUGAUGAAGGUCUUCGGGUCGUAAAACUCUGUUGUCAGGGAAGAAACGCUCUGUGCUAAUACCACCGCGUAAUGACGGUACCUGAAGAGUAAGCAACGGCUAACUACGUG
rnacentral:rRNA from 1 species